rnacentral:rRNA from 1 species
UACAGGGGGUGCAAACGUUGCUCGGAAUCAUUGGGCGUAAAGCGCACGUAGGCGGUCUGUUAUGUCGGAUGUGAAAGCCCUCGGCUCAACCGAGGAAGUGCAUCCGAAACUGGCAGGCUAGAGUACUAAAGAGGGUCGCGGAAUUCCCGGUGUAGAGGUGAAAUUCGUAGAUAUCGGGAGGAACACCGGUGGCGAAGGCGGCGACCUGGGUAGAUACUGACGCUGAGGUGCGAAAGCGUGGGGAGCGAACAGG